AUGGAAAAAGAAGCAGUUUGAAGAAGAAAAUGAAGAACACGGUUUUGACAAGAAAAAAUUAUUAUUAAUUUAAUAGCCAUUUUUUGGCUAUAAAAGGGAGAGCUUCCCAUUUCAGUGAGCAUCCAAUUCCAUUAUUCAGAGAGUAAUUUAGAGAGAGUCGAGAGUUGUGAGAAAUAAUUCUUGCAGAGCAGAGAGUCUAGUGAGUGAGAGAUUGGGUGUAUUGGGGUUUUGGGUUGUGAGCCAAAAUAUUACAAUACUUGUAAUCCUUAUUUCACUAGUAAAAUAUUUCCUUCUGUUUUUGCCCGUGGACGUAGGCUAAAAGCCGAACCACGUAAUUUCUGGUAUUCUCUUUUGUGCUUGUUCUUUAUUUUAUUUCCAAUUUUACUUUAGCUGCGGUCCUGCUGCACCCACCAAUUUCCUAACAGUGGUAUCAGAGCUAUUGGUUGUAUUUUUGGAGUCAGGAAUUGUUCACGUAUUCACGUAUACGGCGUACGGCACUAUUCACGUAUACGGCAUACGAUACUAUUCACGUAUACGGAGUACGGCAC
rnacentral:lncRNA from 1 species